CCUACGGGGUGCUGCAGUGGGGAAUAUUGGACAAUGGGCGAAAGCCUGAUCCAGCCAUGCCGCGUGUGUGAAGAAGGCCUUCGGGUUGUAAAGCACUUUCAGUGGGGAAGAAAGCCUUGGGGCUAAUACCCUCGAGGAAGGACAUCACCCACAGAAGAAGCACCGGCUAACUCCGUGCCAGCAGCCGCGGUAAUACGGAGGGUGCGAGCGUUAAUCGGAAUUACUGGGCGUAAAGCGCGCGUAGGCGGUCUGAUAAGCCGGUUGUGAAAGCCCCGGGCUCAACCUGGGAACGGCAUCCGGAACUGUCAGGCUAGAGUGCAGGAGAGGAAGGUAGAAUUCCCGGUGUAGCGGUGAAAUGCGUAGAGAUCGGGAGGAAUACCAGUGGCGAAGGCGGCCUUCUGGACUGACACUGACGCUGAGGUGCGAAAGCGUGGGUAGCAAACAGGAUUAGAUACCCCUGUAGUC
rnacentral:rRNA from 1 species